CCUACGGGAGGCAGCAGUAGGGAAUCUUCCGCAAUGGGCGAAAGCCUGACGGAGCAACGCCGCGUGAGUGAUGAAGGUCUUCGGAUCGUAAAACUCUGUUAUUAGGGAAGAACAUAUGUGUAAGUAACUGUGCACAUCUUGACGGUACCUAAUCAGAAAGCCACGGCUAACUACGUGCCAGCAGCCGCGGUAAUACGUAGGUGGCAAGCGUUAUCCGGAAUUAUUGGGCGUAAAGCGCGCGUAGGCGGUUUUUUAAGUCUGAUGUGAAAGCCCACGGCUCAACCGUGGAGGGUCAUUGGAAACUGGAAAACUUGAGUGCAGAAGAGGAAAGUGGAAUUCCAUGUGUAGCGGUGAAAUGCGCAGAGAUAUGGAGGAACACCAGUGGCGAAGGCGACUUUCUGGUCUGUAACUGACGCUGAUGUGCGGAAGCGUGGGGAUCAAACAGGAUUAGAUACCCUGGUAGUCCACGCCGUAAAUGAUGAGUGCUAAGUGUUAGGGGGUUUCCGCCCCUUAGUGCUGCAGCUAACGCAUUAAGCACUCCGCCUGGGGAGUACGACCGCAAGGUUGAAACUCAAAGGAAUUGACGG
rnacentral:rRNA from 1 species